AUAAAACGCAUUGUUUAAUAGUGAUCACAAAGAAGUUUUCAAAAUCCUGCGGCCUACCUGUGGUGAAAGAAGAUUUUCUUGGGGGGACUUAAUUAAUGAAGCAAGCUGCUGAAUCUCCUGCAUCAAAAAACAGUGCAGACAGCACUUGAACCCUUCUGGUGGGACAGGAGAAAAGGAGAAAACUCAGGACAGAUGAGGCGAAAGAGCAUCUUUCCCUUUAAGGCUAACUGUGAUACCUUCAGAAGGAAGAACACUUUUUAGGAAAGGAUAAUGUCAUAGUCAUUCCUGUCGGAGAUACUACACUUCACAUGGAUAGCUGCAUUAUCUGUUUGGAGAGAGCAUAAGGGAAGAUGACUUAAUAGUCCAGAAAAGGGAAAACCUGCUGGGUAUGUGGGUGUGUGAGUUUCAGAUCCAUGAACUGACAUAUGCAAAGCAAGAACGUCAUGGUUGGAUUUUUACCCCCACAUGGCUGCCUGAAACUCUUUUAAGCAGGCACUUUCCUCUAGGGACCUGCUUUUCAGUUAGAGGAAAUGAACCAUGCCCGUUGCAGCAGAGAAAUUGCAGAGUGAAAAGGGAUAUGUUCCCUGGACAGAGAUGUGGCUUUUGCUGGCAGUGCUUUACUGUGUUACAUGCCUCAUGA
rnacentral:lncRNA from 1 species